rnacentral:rRNA from 1 species
GACGUAGGGGACGAGCGUUGUCCGGAUUCAUUGGGCGUAAAGCGCACGUAGGCGGAUUGGUCAGUUAGGGGUGAAAUCCUGGAGCUCAACUCCAGAACUGCCUUUAAUACUGCCAGUCUCGAGUCCGGAAGAGGUAAGUGGAACUCCUAGUGUAGAGGUGGAAUUCGUAGAUAUUAGGAAGAACACCAGUGGCGAAGGCGGCUUACUGGUCCGGUACUGACGCUGAUGAGCGAAAGCUAGGGGAGCAAACGGG